rnacentral:lncRNA from 11 species
AUGUGUUUGUGUGUGGAACGUUACCAAGCACAUGCAUCCACAUCAGUUUUAUAUCAUUGUAGUGAAAGUACUGUAUACAGGAGACUGACAGGUGGAUGUUUGCUUGUCUCUUUAAAUGAUGGUGAAAGAAACAUUUUAAACACCAGCAGGCUUUUGAGAGAGGAUGGUUUUGCAAGAAAAAGACUUUGCACUGUACGGUUUUUAAUAUUUCUUUUACAUUACUGUUUUACAUAG